UACGAAGGGGGGCUAGCGUUGCUCGGAAUCACUGGGCGUAAAGGGUGCGUAGGCGGGUCUUUUAAGUCAGGGGGUGAAAUCCUGGAGCUCAACUCCAGAACUGCCUUUGAUACUGAAGAUCUUGAGUUCGGGAGAGGUGAGUGGAACUGCGAGUGUAGAGGUGAAAAUUCGUAGAUAUUCGCAAGAACACCAGUGGCGAAGGCGGCUCACUGGCCCGAUACUGACGCUGAGGCACGAAAGCGUGGGGAGCAAACAGGG
rnacentral:rRNA from 1 species